rnacentral:hammerhead_ribozyme from 1 species
GUGCCACUGAAGAAUCCCACAAUAGGACGAAACAGCCUUCCAGUAC